GGGCGGGUGGUCUAGUGGUAUGACGCCCAGACACUGGAGACCCUACCAGCAGUCGUUGUCAGGGGCCAAAAAAAAAUAAACGAAUAAAAAAAUAACCAGCAGUCGCAGUCCAGGGUCGGUGUCUUCGGGAGACCCAGGUUCGAAUCCUGGCCCGCCCA